rnacentral:rRNA from 1 species
UACGUAGGGUGCAAGCGUUGUCCGGAAUUAUUGGGCGUAAAGAGCUCGUAGGCGGUCUGUCGCGUCGGAUGUGAAAACCCAGGGCUCAACCCUGGGCCUGCAUUCGAUACGGGCAGACUAGAGUUCGGUAGGGGAGACUGGAAUUCCUGGUGUAGCGGUGAAAUGCGCAGAUAUCAGGAGGAACACCGGUGGCGAAGGCGGUUCUCUGGGCCUGUACUGACGCUGAGGAGCGAAAGCGUGGGGAGCGAACAGG